rnacentral:rRNA from 1 species
CGGGGAAUAUUGCGCAAUGGGCGAAAGCCUGACGCAGCAACGCCGUGUGAGGGAUGAAGGCUUUCGGGUCGUAAACCUCUGUCAGAAGGGAAGAACGGGCAUUGGUCUAAUAGGCCUUUGUUUUGACGGUACCUUCAGAGGAAGCACCGGCUAACUCCGUGCCAGCAGCCGCGGUAAUACGGAGGGUGCAAGCGUUAUUCGGAAUUACUGGGCGUAAAGCGCACGUAGGCCGCUUUGUAAGUCAGGGGUGAAAUCCCACGGCUCAACCGUGGAACUGCCCUUGAAACUGCGAAGCUUGAAUCCUGGAGAGGGUGGCGGAAUUCCUGGUGUAGGAGUGAAAUCCGUAGAUAUCAGGAGGAACACCGGUGGCGAAGGCGGCCACCUGGACAGGUAUUGACGCUGAGGUGCGAAAGUGUGGGGAGCAAACAG